AGCGAACGCUGGCGGCAGGCCUAAUACAUGCAAGUCGAGCGGUCCCUUCGGGGGCAGCGGCGGACGGGUGAGUAACGCGUGGGAACGUGCCCUUUGGUACGGAACAACUGAGGGAAACUUCAGCUAAUACCGUAUGUGCCCUUCGGGGGAAAGAUUUAUUGCCAUUGGAGCGGCCCGCGUUGGAUUAGGUAGUUGGUGAG
rnacentral:rRNA from 1 species